UACGGAGGAUGCAAGCGUUAUCCGGAAUUAUUGGGCGUAAAGCGUCCGUAGGUGGAGGUUCAAGUCAGCUGUUAAAGCGUGAGGCUUAACCUCAUAAGGGCAGUUGAAACUGAGCAUCUAGAGUGCGGUAGGGGCAAGGGGAAUUCCCAGUGUAGCGGUGAAAUGCGUAGAUAUUGGGAAGAACACCGGUGGCGAAAGCGCCUUGCUGGGUCUGCACUGACACUGAGGGACGAAAGCUAGGGGAGCGAAAGGG
rnacentral:rRNA from 1 species